rnacentral:rRNA from 1 species
UCGCGAAUAGCUCAUUACAACAGCCAUAGUUUAUUUGAUCUUUCGAUUUUACUUGGAUACCUGUGGUAACCUAAGAGCUAAUACACGCAUUUAAGUCCAGACCUCGCGGGACGGACGCAUUUAUUAGACCAAAACCAAUCGGGCUUGCCCGUAUUUUGGUGAAUCUGAAUAACUUGGCUGAUCGCACGGUCUUUGCACCGGCGACGUAUCAUUCAAAUGUCUGCCUUAUCAACUUUCGAUGGUAGUUUAUGCGCCUACCAUGGUUGUAACGGGUAACGGAGAAUUAGGGUUCGACUCCGGAGAGGGAGCCUGAGAAACGGCUACCACAUCCAAGGAAGGCAGCAGGCA